ACACCGGCUUCUCGAACACACACUAACCCUGGACUGUAGACACCGGCUUCUAAGCACUGGGCUCCAACCCUGGAAUGUCACUCCCAACUUGUCUGUCUUCCCUAUUUAUCUAAAGAGGGGUCCUUAUAUCUGUAAUGUGUCGAAGACUACCUAGACGUCAGGUCCUUAUAUCUGUACUGUGUCUGAGACUACCUAGACAUCAGAUCCUUAUAUCUGUACUGUGUCUGAGACUACCUAGACAUCAGGUCCUUAUAUCUGUACUGUGUCUGAGACUACCUAGACGUCAGAUCCUUAUAUCUGUACUGUGUCUGAGACUACCUAGACAUCAGGUCCUUAUAUCUGUACUGUGUCUGAGACUACCUAGACAUCAGGUCCUUAUAUCUGUACUGUGUCUGAGACUACCUAGACAUCAGGUCCUAUUUGGUCUAUACUGGUUUAAAGACUAUACUGGUCACUAUUUGGUCUAUACUGGUUUAAAGGCUAUUCUGGACACUAGUCUAUACUGGUUUAAGUACUAUACUAGUUUAAAGGCUAUUCUCGUCACUAGUUGGUCUGUACUGGUUUAAAGACUAUACUGGUCACAAGUCUAUACUGGUUUAAAUACUAUACUAGUUUAAAGGCUAUUCUGGUCACUAGUUGGUCUGUACUGGUUUAAAGACUAUUCUCGUCACUAUUUGGUCUAUACUAGUUUAAAGACUAAUCUGGUCACUAGUUGGUCUAUACCGGUUUAUUCUUUGCCAUUGUAAUGAAAAUGUUGUGCGACAAUCCAUCUGUUUUGUCAUCUUGUGGGACCUUGUUGUCUUGUGUGUGCCUACAUGUAAUCCUGAACAAAUCACUGACGCCUAUACAGUCAAUGUAGAACACUGGAAAUCAGCUAUUACUAUUCUGGAUGUGUCUGUCUGUACAAGAUGUUAAGAAUAGCAAUAGUCGCCAAAAUAGGAAAUGUGAAUUAAUGUCAUUGUGAUGAAAGAUGCAAUAUAAAGUAACAUCAUAAAUAAAAACAUUUGAAAG
ensembl:lncRNA